rnacentral:rRNA from 1 species
GACGAACGCUGGCGGCGUGCUUAACACAUGCAAGUCGAACGGUGAAAGCGGAGCUUGCUCCGCUGGAUCAGUGGCGAACGGGUGAGUAACACGUGGGCAACCUGCCCCUGACUUCGGGAUAACUCCUCGAAAGAGGUGCUAAUACCGGAUACGAAUCCUGCAGGCAUCUGCGGGAUUGGAAAGUUUUUCGGUUAGGGAUGGGCCCGCGGCCAAUCAGCUUGUUGGUGAGGUAGUGGCUCACCAAGGCGACGAAGGGUAGCCGGCCUGAGGGGGGGACCGGCCACACUGGGACUGAGACACGGCCCAGACUCCUACGGGAGGCAGCAGUGGGGAAUAUUGCGCAAUGGGCGAAAGCCUGACGCAGCAACGCCGCGUGAGGGAUGACGGCCUUCGGGUUGUAAACCUCUUUCAGCAGGGAAGAAGCGAAAGUGACGGUACCUGCAGAAGAAGCACCGGCUAACUACGUGCCAGCAGCCGCGGUAA